AUCAACAAACAUUUCCCAUAACCAUGCAAAUUUCCUACAAAAGAAGGAUGAUAAAAAAGAGCCCUAAAAAUAACAUAAAUGUAGGUAGUGUUGUUAAUUUAAUUUUAUGACAUGACAGCUACAACAACAGCAAAAACAACAAACUGGUCGAUAAGGCGGCACGGCCCUAACAAACAAACUAACAAAACACAACAACUAAAGAGACAUAAGAGGCCCCCAGAGGCCCCAGAGCCCCCAGAGGUGAGGCCCAGAGCCCGAGAGCCCGAGAGUCGUCAUCUGGCAGCAGCGUCAGACGCGAGAAACUUUAGCGGCUUCUAACGGUAAAUAUGAAUAUGGUGAGUGAGCGAGAGAGGGAAACAGAAAUGCAAACAUGCAUGAACGUGCACGUAAGAGCCACACACACACACACUAGCAUGAGUAUGUAUUGUGGCAAGUGCAGUCGCAAAGUAGGCGCGUCUCUCUCUUGUUUUUAGCCUUGUUCAACAGCAGCACCGGCAACGGCAACAGCAACAACACCAACAACAACCAGUUAACAACAAAAGCUUUAACAGCAACUUCAACAAAAAAUGCAACAAGAAAGGCAAAGAUUCGCAGCUUCUUUUUGGGGAAACGAAGGUUGGGAUACCCUUGAAGGUCUUGGAUUUCUAUGGUAGUCAAGCGAUUUGGAUUAUGUUUGGUUGAGGGAACCCAUAUGACAGCUGUAUCUUCAGAAACCAAUUGCUCCUAUGGCUGCUAUAAGAUAUAGGCAUUCAAACCGAUCAGCACCGACUUCUACCCUUUGUUGAGCAAUAAGCAAGAUCUGUGCAAACUUUCAGUCAGAAAAAUACAAUGGGUAUACACAAAGAAACAACAACAAACCGUUUGCAUUCCUGACCUACUCUGCAACUUUACAUUGACUUCAAACGGCCUGUAGUCCCGCGCCUCCACCUCCCUCUCUCUCUCUCUCUUGCUGCUGCAUGCUACUCCGACCAAAACGCGCAGACGAUAUUCAGCAUUCAGCAUAGAAAUGGGUGGAGACUCGAAACGAGUUGGGGGUUAAAGGAUAUGGCCAACAAGCAACAGCAACAACCUGGUUGGCCAUAAAAAAGUUGUAUUUUUUACCUCCAAAAGUAGUUAAACUUCAAAAGCCGACAAACGUGGAAGAAGAGAAGAAGCAGCAGGGGAAGAGGCAGAGGCAGAAGCAAAAGCAGACGAAGAAGAGGUGGAAAAAAUGCAUGGCAUGAAAACGAGUUUUCACUACUUUUGCCUAUUAUACAGCACCAACAAAAGCAACAACAAAGCCCCCCAAUUGAGAGAUGGAGACGACCGUAGACGUCGUAGAUGCCACAUCAAGGCAUGCAACGCCACCACCCAAUACCAAAGCAAUACAGAAACAAACGAAACAAAGCACAAGGCACAUUGCAAGCCGAUGACGUGCGCACAGUGGUUGACGGAGGAUUUGCAUGUGAAAUGUUCAGCGAGAAAUUACAUAACAGCCGAUGAGUGCGGGGCUGAUGCGAGUGAGGGAACAUGUUUGAUCACAGAUAAAUGGAAAUGGAAGAGAGUCUUUGAAAAUAUGAAUAGUAAAUGUAUUUUUUGGUGGGAGAAAAACCUCUUCAAAUCGUUAAAAAAUAAGGAAACUCAAGUCUUAACUGGGGAAUAUGGGAAAAUGUAUCUAUCUAUCCUCAAAGGAAUUAAAAUGAGCUGAAAUUCCUAUGAAAAGGUACUUCCUUCCUAAUUUAUGGCAAGGAAAUGAAAUGCAGACAAGAAAAGGAAGUUGCUUGAAAGAAAUCGAAUUUGAGAUUCCCUAACACGAGAUUUCUAGCUUUGGAAGCAAGGAAUGGAACAUGUGCAAGCUUGGAACGUGGGAAAAGAAUAGGGUUUAAGCUAAAAUUCAUUUAAAACUGUUAUUCCUCAAGAUACUGCCGAUUAGCCCACAUUUCGAGAAGAGAAGCAAAAGCAAAAGCGUGUUAGGAGUUCUCAGAGGAAGCUGUGGCAGCAGAAGAUGGUUGUUGCAGCAGGGCAGUAGCAGUGGCAAUGGCAAUUGCUACCUGGGUGGAGUUCCAUUGAAACCACUGGCGGUAAUGGUAACGGGAGGAAAAACCGCAGAAAAUUGCUAUACAUCUGCGAAGGAAAAGCCAGUGUUAAAGCAUAAGCCAUCGUGUAGAUGAAAACUGGCUUUUUCCACACAAUGAGAUUUAUUUAUCGUGAUUGUGCGCUUAAUUGAAAAUUGUUUGCGACUCAACAGAGAGAAAAAGCAAGAGAGAGGGAGAGCGCAACAGGAGGCAACGAGACGACUCCUGGCUUCCGUUCUGCGGGGCCAUAUAUCACCGUGAACCCAUCUUGGGUCU